rnacentral:tRNA from 1 species
GUAAAUAUAGUUUAACUAAAACACUAGAUUGUGAUUCUAGUAACAGGGGUUAAAAUCCCCUUAUUCACC